AUCCGGCUGACGAAUCCCAAAUAGGACGAAACGCGCUCCCUGGAU
rfam:Schistosoma rodhaini strain Burundi genome assembly, scaffold: SROB_scaffold0010861